CCUANGGGCGGCAGCAGUUUCGAAUCAUUCACAAUGGGCGAAAGCCUGAUGGUGCGACGCCGCGUGAGGGAUGAAGGUCUUCGGAUCGUAAACCUCUGUCACCGGGGAAGAAACGCUAUGCGAUAACAUCGCCUAGCCUGACUUAACCCGGAGAGGAAGCAGUGGCUAACUCUGUGCCAGCAGCCGCGGUAAUACAGAGACUGCAAGCGUUAUUCGGAUUCACUGGGCGUAAAGGGUGCGCAGGCGGCCGAGUGUGUGAGGUGUGAAAUCCUGGAGCUUAACUCCAGAACUGCGCCUCAAACUACUCGGCUAGAGCAUUGGAGAGGGAAGUGGAAUUCACGGUGUAGCAGUGAAAUGCGUAGAUAUCGUGAGGAACACCAGAGGCGAAGGCGACUUCCUGGACAAUUGCUGACGCUCAGGCACGAAAGCGUGGGGAGCAAAAGGGAUUAGAUACCCCANUANUC
rnacentral:rRNA from 1 species